rnacentral:rRNA from 1 species
GAUGAACGCUGGCGGCGUGCGUAACACAUGCAAGUUGGACGACGGUGCCAUGAAGUGGUAACACGGAAUGGUAUACGGAGUAGCGGACGGGUGAGUAAAGCAUGAGGAGCUGUCCUGUUGAGGGGGAUAACGUUCGGAAACGGACCCUAAUACCCCAUAGGCCGAGAGGUUAAAGGCAGAGAUGCGCGACAGGAGGUACUCGUGUCCUAUCAGCUGGUUGGUGAGGUAACGGCUCACCAAGGCGACGACGGGUAGCCGGCCUGAGAGGGUGACCGGCCACACUGGAACUGAGACACGGUCCAGACUCCUACGGGAGGCAGCAGUGGGGAAUAUUGGGCAAUGGGAGAAAUCCUGACCCAGCGACGCCGCGUGAACGAAGACGGCCUUCGGGUUGUAAAGUUCUUUUAUGUGGGAAGAAGGAAGUGACGGUACCACAUGAAUAAGCCCC